CACGGAUCCAGAAUUUGAUUAUGGCUCAGGACGAACCUGGCGGCGUGCUUAACACAUGCAAGUCGAACGGGGAUAUCGUUGGAAGUUCUUCGGGAUUGAAGAUGAUAUUCGARUDGCGGACGGGUGAGUAACGCGUGACAACCUGUCCCAGACAGGGGGAUAACACUUGGAAACAGGUGCUAAUACCGCAUGAGACCACAGCAUCACUAUGGUGCAGGGGUAAAAGGAGAAAUCCGGUUUGGGGUGGGCUCGCGUCCGAUUAGCCAGUUGGCGGGGUAACGGCCCACCAAAACGACGAUCGGUAGCCGACCUGAGAGGGUGAUCGGCCACAUUGGAACUGAGAGACGGUCCAAACUCCUACGGGAGGCAGCAGUGGGGAAUAUUUGGCAAUGGGCGAAAGCUGACCCAGCAACGCCGCGUGAGUUAAGAAGGCCUUCGGGUUGUAAAGCUCUGUUAUAGGGGACGAAGGAAGUGACGGUACCCUAUAAGGAAGCCCCGGCUAACUACGUGCCAGCAGCCGCGGUAAUACGUAGGGGGCGAGCGUUGUCCGGAAUGACUGGGCGUAAAGGGCGUGUAGGCGGUCUUAUAAGUCUGGAGUGAAAGUCCUGUUUUUAAAGUGGGAAUUGCUUUGGAUACUGUCGGACUUUAGCGCGGAAGAGUAAAUGGAAUUCCCA
rnacentral:rRNA from 1 species